rnacentral:rRNA from 1 species
CCUACGGGAGGCAGCAGUGAGGAAUAUUGGUCAAUGGACGAGAGUCUGAACCAGCCAAGUAGCGUGAAGGAUGACUGCCCUAUGGGUUGUAAACUUCUUUUAUAUGGGAAUAAAACGUUCCACGUGUGGGAUUUUGUAUGUACCAUAUGAAUAAGGAUCGGCUAACUCCGUGCCAGCAGCCGCGGUAAUACGGAGGAUCCGAGCGUUAUCCGGAUUUAUUGGGUUUAAAGGGAGCGUAGGUGGCUUGUUAAGUCAGUUGUGAAAGUUGGCGGCUCAACCGUAAAAUUGCAGUUGAAACUGGCAGUCUUGAGUACAGUAGAGGUAGGCGGAAUUCGUGGUGUAGCGGUGAAAUGCUUAGAUAGCACGAAGAACUCCGAUUGCGAAGGCAGUUCACUGGACUGCAACUGACACUGAGGCUCGAAAGUGUGGGUAUCAAACAGGAUUAGAUACCCUAGUAGUC